rfam:Salmo salar isolate Sally breed double haploid chromosome ssa23, whole genome shotgun sequence.
UGAAUUCACUACUGUAAGUCGCUCUGGAUAAGAGCGUCUGCUAAAUGACUCAAA